GGGGCCCGGGGGCGGAAGGGGGGAGGGGAGGAAAGGAGCGGUAGGGAAGGGGGUUGUGCAGGCGCUCGAAGCCGCAGCCUUGGCCCGCUGCGGGGGCGGGCCGAGAAGGGCACUGGGCGCCCAGAGUAACCAACACCAAGACGAAUAGCGAGGGCUCGGGGAGAAAAAACGGAGGAUGGCAAACAGCAAAGCCAAGGGCACGAGAUAGCACAGCGCGCACCCAGAGGCUCCUCCGAUGGACGCCACCCCGCGCUCACCGGUCCUCUGGUGGUUCCUUUGAGCCACCGGGAGGGCGCAAGGUGGCUGAGCGAGGCUUCUUGUUCGGUGCUUCCCAAACCUGAGAUGGUUUGGGAAAGGAAACAGGGGGUCUCAGACCGCGUGGAUGCAGCGCUCUCGCCACGCGUUUGAGUGCAGGUCUGUCGAGACGCCCCAGCCCUCGCCACCCCACCAAGCUCUCAGAAACCUGUUUAUGCACCCUCCUGCAAUCCCACCACCUGCCCAGGCCAAGUAAGUGAGCCCCUCUCCGCUACUGGUGUUUCAUCAUUCUGGGAGCUACUUCGAUUUCAUGCAUUGCCCUUCAGCUGCCAUGUUAUGAGGACGCUUGGACAGCCUAUGGAGAAAGCUACAAGAGAGGAACUGAGGUCUCCUGCCAUCAGCCACUUGAGUGAGCAUGGGAGUGGAUUCUCCAAACUCCAGUUAAGACUUGAGAUGACCACAGUGGCAGCCACAGCUUGACUGCAACUUACGAGAGACACUGAGCCAGAGGCACUCAGCUAAGUCGUGCACAGAUUCCUGACCCGUAGAACCUGUGACACAAUGAAGGUUUGUUGUUUUGGGGGUAAUCCGUUAUUCAGCAAUAGAUAAUGAAUACGGAAGGCCUUGUAAUUGUAUAACCAACGUGAGUUUAUAAGCGGAAAUCUGACCUCAUUUGUUUUCUCCUGAAAAAGUUGUAGAACAAUCACAAGACUGCAAGUCACUCCCUCUCUUUCUCUCUUUUGUGGGAAAUAAACAAGUAUAAUUACAAUUUUUAAA